rnacentral:rRNA from 1 species
AUUGAACGCUGGCGGCAGGCCUAACACAUGCAAGUCGAGCGAGCGGCGGACGGGUGAGUAAUGUGUGGGAGACUGCCUGCUGGAGGGGGAUAACUAAUGGAAACGGUAGCUAAUCCCGCAUACCAUCAGAUGUGCCCAGAUGGGAUUAGCUAGUGGGGGGGGUAACGGCUCACCUAGGCGACGAUCCCUAGCUGGUCUGAGAGGAUGACCAGCCACACUGGAACUGAGACACGGUCCAGACUCCUACGGGAGGCAGCAGUGGGGAAUAUUGCACAAUGGGCGAAAGCCUGAUGCAGCCAUGCCGCGUGUGUGAAGAAGGCCUUCGGGUUGUAAAGUACUUUCGGCGGGGAGGCGUUACCCGCAGAAGAAGCACCGGCUAACUCCGUGCCAGCAGCCGCGGUAAUAC